CAAUAUAAAAAAUAACCCCUCUUGUUCAUUCAGCAGUCCAAGAAAAAAGAGGCCCAGGAAAUCACGUAUACUUGACAUUACUUCGACGCAACUUAAAGAAAUUAGGAGCAUAGUUAAUGAUUUUUAUAUAGUGGAAAAAAGAAGGCCUACUCUCAAGUUAAUCCUACAAAAGAUCAUUGACCGAUCUGUUAUUCAUGAGCCUAUGAGUAUACCAUCCUUAGCAAAACUACUAAAGAGCAUUGGAUUUAGAUGGAAGAAGACAGAUGAUAGAUAAUAGAAAGGCCUUGAUGGAAUCAUAUGACAUACGUUUGAAGAGAAUAAAAUACUUAAAACAAAUUACCGAAUUUAAAAAUCAAGGUAGAAAUAUAGUGUAUACUGACGAAACCUAUAUACACAGUAGUCAUACUUCUGACAAAGGUUGGUUUGACGAAAGCCUAAGCGGUAUACGAAAACCCAUUUCAAAAGGACAGCGAUUAAUCAUCGUUCAUGCUGGAGGAAAAAAUGGUUUUGUUAAAGACGGUCUACUUAUAUUCCGCUCAGGUUCUAAAAGUGGCGAUUACCAUGACCACAUGAAUCAUGAAAAUUUUAUGAAAUGGGUGGAAACCCAAUUACUUCCGAAUUUGCCACCAAAUUCGGUCUUAGUUUUGGACAAUGCAUCAUACCAUAAUGUACAAGUAAAAAAGAAUGUUACCUCAGGAAGUAAGAAACAACUCAUAAUUGAUUGGCUUAAGGAGCAUAAUUUAGAACAUGACGAGAAAAUGACAAAAACGGAACUUUAUGAAAUAGUUCUUCAAAAUAAAAGAUUUUAUCCGAUAAAGUGCAAACUUGACGAACUAAUGGAAAGUCACGGACACUUAACUUUGCGUUUGCCUCCAUACCACCCAGAAUUGAACCCCAUUGA